GGGCCCGUAGCUCAGGGGUAGAGCGCCUGCCUUGCAAGCAGGAGGUCUCGGGUUCAAAUCCCGACGGGUCCA
rnacentral:tRNA from 1 species